rfam:Pteropus alecto contig28109, whole genome shotgun sequence.
GUCUAUGGCCAUGCUACCCUGAACAUACCCGAUCUCAUCUGAUCUCAGAAGCUAAGCAGGGUCAGGCCUGGUUAGUACUUGGAUGAGAGACCACCUAGGAAGAUAGGUGCUAUAGGCA